AGUGAACGCUGGCGGUAGGCCUAACACAUGCAGGUCGAACGGCAGCACAGUAAGAGCUUGCUCUUACGGGUGGCGAGUGGCGGACGGGUGAGGAAUACAUCGGAAUCUACUUUUUCGUGGGGGAUAACGUAGGGAAACUUACGCUAAUACCGCAUACGACCUACGGGUGAAGGCAGGGGAUCUUCGGAACUUGCGCGAUUGAAUGAGCCGAUGUCGGAUUAGCUAGUUGGCGGGGUAAAGGCCCACCAAGGCGACGAUCCGUAGCUGGUCUGAGAGGAUGAUCAGCCACACUGGAACUGAGACACGGUCCAGACUCCUACGGGAGGCAGCAGUGGGGAAUAUUGGACAAUGGGCGCAAGCCUGAUCCAGCCAUACCGCGUGGGUGAAGAAGGCCUUCGGGUUGUAAAGCCCUUUUGUUGGGAAAGAAAAGCAGCAGGUUAAUACCCCGCUGUUCUGACGGUACCCAAAGAAUAAGCACCGGCUAACUUCGUG
rnacentral:rRNA from 1 species